UGAAGGUGUACUGUGAGGUAUGCUGGAGGUAUCAGAAGUGCGAAUGCUGACAUAAGUAACGAUAAAGCGGGUGAAAAGCCCGCUCGCCGGAAGACCAAGGGUUCCUGUCCAACGUUAAUCGGGGCAGGGUGAGUCGACCCCUAAGGCGAGGCCGAAAGGCGUAGUCGAUGGGAAACAGGUUAAUAUUCCUGUACUUGGUGUUACUGCGAAGGGGGGACGGAGAAGGCUAUGUUGGCCGGGCGACGGUUGUCCCGGUUUAAGCGUGUAGGCUGGUUUUCCAGGCAAAUCCGGAAAAUCAAGGCUGAGGCGUGAUGACGAGGCACUACGGUGCUGAAGCAACAAAUGCCCUGCUUCCAGGAAAAGCCUCUAAGCAUCAGGUAACAUCAAAUCGUACCCCAAACCGACACAGGUGGUCAGGUAGAGAAUACCAAGGCGCUUGAGAGAACUCGGGUGAAGGAACUAGGCAAAAUGGUGCCGUAACUUCGGGAGAAGGCACGCUGAUAUGUAGGUGAAGCGACUUGCUCGUGGAGCUGAAAUCAGUCGAAGAUACCAGCUGGCUGCAACUGUUUAUUAAAAACACAGCACUGUGCAAACACGAAAGUGGACGUAUACGGUGUGACGCCUGCCCGGUGCCGGAAGGUUAAUUGAUGGGGUCAGCGCAAGCGAAGCUCUUGAUCGAAGCCCCGGUAAACGGCGGCCGUAACUAUAACGGUCCUAAGGUAGCGAAAUUCCUUGUCGGGUAAGUUCCGACCUGCACGAAUGGCGUAAUGAUGGCCAGGCUGUCUCCACCCGAGACUCAGUGAAAUUGAACUCGCUGUGAAGAUGCAGUGUACCCGCGGCAAGACGGAAAGACCCCGUGAACCUUUACUAUAGCUUGACACUGAACAUUGAGCCUUGAUGUGUAGGAUAGGUGGGAGGCUUUGAAGUGUGGACGCCAGUCUGCAUGGAGCCGACCUUGAAAUACCACCCUUUAAUGUUUGAUGUUCUAACGUUGACCCGUAAUCCGGGUUGCGGACAGUGUCUGGUGGGUAGUUUGACUGGGGCGGUCUCCUCCUAAAGAGUAACGGAGGAGCACGAAGGUUGGCUAAUCCUGGUCGGACAUCAGGAGGUUAGUGCAAUGGCAUAAGCCAGCUUGACUGCGAGCGUGACGGCGCGAGCAGGUGCGAAAGCAGGUCAUAGUGAUCCGGUGGUUCUGAAUGGAAGGGCCAUCGCUCAACGGAUAAAAGGUACUCCGGGGAUAACAGGCUGAUACCGCCCAAGAGUUCAUAUCGACGGCGGUGUUUGGCACCUCGAUGUCGGCUCAUCACAUCCUGGGGCUGAAGUAGGUCCCAAGGGUAUGGCUGUUCGCCAUUUAAAGUGGUACGCGAGCUGGGUUUAGAACGUCGUGAGACAGUUCGGUCCCUAUCUGCCGUGGGCGCUGGAGAACUGAGGGGGGCUGCUCCUAGUACGAGAGGACCGGAGUGGACGCAUCACUGGUGUUCGGGUUGUCAUGCCAAUGGCACUGCCCGGUAGCUAAAUGCGGAAGAGAUAAGUGCUGAAAGCAUCUAAGCACGAAACUUGCCCCGAGAUGAGUUCUCCCUGAC
rnacentral:rRNA from 1 species